rnacentral:rRNA from 1 species
AUUGAACGCUGGCGGCAGGCUUAACACAUGCAAGUCGAACGAGUGGCGGACGGGUGAGUAAUGCUUGGGAAUCUAGCUUAUGGAGGGGGAUAACUACGGGAAACUGUAGCUAAUACCGCGUACCAUAGGAUGAGCCCAAGGGGGAUUAGGUAGUUGGUGAGGUAAAGGCUCACCAAGCCGACGAUCUCUAGCUGGUCUGAGAGGAUGACCAGCCACACUGGGACUGAGAAACGGUCCAGACGCCUACGGGAGGCAGAAGGGGGGAAUAUUGCGGAAUGGGGGCAACCUGACGAAGCCAUUCCGCGUAAAUGAAGAAGGCCUUCGGGUUGUAAAGUACUUUCGGUAGCGAGGCGUUAACUACAGAAGAAGCACCGGCUAACUCCGUGCCAGCAGCCGCGGUAAUAC